rnacentral:lncRNA from 1 species
GAAACUCAUUUUCUUUAUACCCAGAAAGGGUACAAACUGAACAAAAUUCUUGAUCCCACAAAACGACACCGUUUGGAUCAACAAUACUCCCAUCUUUUGUAACCUCUCUCUUCGCUGUUCUCCUCAAUGAACCAAGAGUGAUCUUGGGUCCUUUCCACUUGAUCUCCACAACCCUAUGAUAAUCUUUCUCUGUGUCCGCAUGUACAGGAUCACAACCCCCAAAUUCCAUCUUCUUCACCACCAAUUUCACCUCAAACUUUCUUGAUAAUAUUGGUGGCCAAGGUCUCCAUUUCAUCAUCUUUACCACCAUUUUGGGUCAAGAUUUGAUGGUGGGUGUGUUAAAGAUUGAAACUUUAUAGCAAUUCAGAUGGUGGGUGUUGAUUUUCUUGAUGUUUUAAUGUUGGGUUUUCAAGAAAUUGUGAAAAUUCAAUGUAUUUUGGGUCAAGAUUGAUAAAGAUUGAAACUUUACUGAAAUUGAGAAGGUGGGUGUUGAUAUUCUUGAUCUUUGAAUGUUGGGUUUUCAAGAAAUUGAGAAAAUUGAAUGUAUUUUGGGUCAAGAUUGGUAAAGAUUGAAACUUUACUGAAAUUGAGAAGGUGGGUGUUGAUUUUCUUGAUCUUUGAGUGUCGGGUUUUCAAGAAUUAGGGUAAAAAUGAAUGUAUUUUGGGUAAAGAUUGAAGCUUUACUGAAAUUGAGAAGGAUUAGGGGAAGAAUGAGUGUAUAUUGGGUCAAGAUUGAUGAGGGGUGUGAUGAAGAUUGAAAAAGAUUGAAGCUUUGGAGAAAUUGAGGAGAUGGGUGUUGUUUUUCUUGAGGUUUGAGUGUUGGGUUUUCAAGAAAUGGUGAAUGUGUAGUGUUGUAAGUUGUGAUCUUUUGAGUUAAAUUGUCGAUGAGUUUGAGAGAUGAAACUGAAUAUGGUGGUGUUUUCCGCGUGGAGGUGUAUAUGUAGACAGCGGUGCAAAGUAAAGUUAGAGAGAGAAUGUGUUCGAUUUAAC